AGUGAACGCUGGCGGCGCGCUUAACACAUGCAAGUCGAACGAGAACGGAUUAUAGCUUGCUAUAAUUGUCAGCUAAGUGGCGCACGGGUGAGUAAUGUAUAGGUAAUAUGCCUCUUACUAAGGGAUAACAAAUGGAAACGUUUGCUAAUACCUUAUACUCCUUAAUAACAGAAGUUAAUAAGGGAAAGAUUUAUUGGUAAGAGAUUAGCCUGUAUUGUAUCAGUUAGUUGGUGGGGUAAUGGCUUACCAAGACUAUGACACAUAACUGGUUUGAGAGGAUGAUCAGUCACACUGGAACUGAGACACGGUCCAGACUCCUACGGGAGGCAGCAGUGGGGAAUAUUGCACAAUGGACGAAAGUCUGAUGCAGCAACGCCGCGUGGAGGAUGACACAUUUCGGUGCGUAAACUCCUUUUAUAUGAGAAGAUAAUGACGGUAUUAUAUGAAUAAGCACCGGCUAACUCCGUGCCAGCAGCCGCGGUAA
rnacentral:rRNA from 1 species